ACUCAACACGAAUUCUUUAAAAAGGGUGAGUUUAAGUUGUAAAAGCGCGCCGUCUUCGAGCGGAUUCUUGACCAGCUUGUUAGCCCUAAACUUUUCUUUAAGGAGUUU
rnacentral:sRNA from 1 species